UUGAACGCUGGCGGCAUGCCUUACACAUGCAAGUCGAACGGUAGAGGGGCAACCCUUGAGAGUGGCGAACGGGUGAGUAAUGCAUCGGAACGUGCCCAGUCGUGGGGGAUAACGCAGCGAAAGCUGCGCUAAUACCGCAUACGAUCUAUGGAUGAAAGCGGGGGAUCGCAAGACCUCGCGCGAUUGGAGCGGCCGAUAUCAGAUUAGGUAGUUGGUGGGGUAAAAGCCCACCAAGCCGACGAUCUGUAGCUG
rnacentral:rRNA from 1 species